AGGGCCUUGGGGUCGACGGCCCGGGUGACCAGGAGGUAGUCGCGCAGCGCGGUGCCGUGCCUGGCCUC
rnacentral:sRNA from 1 species